GCCCACGUAGCUCAGGAGGUAGAGCACUUCCUUGGUAAGGAAGAGGUCACCGGUUCAAAUCCGGUCGUGGGCU
rnacentral:tRNA from 1 species